rnacentral:rRNA from 1 species
UACCAGCACCCCGAGUGGUCGGGACGAUUAUUGGGCCUAAAGCAUCCGUAGCCGGUUUUACAAGUCCCCCGUUAAAUCCAGCUGCUUAACAGAUGGGCUGCGGAGGAUACUAUAAGACUAGGAGGCAGGAGAGGCAAGCGGUACUCAGUGGGUAGGGGUAAAGUCCGUUGAUCCAUUGAAGACCACCAGUGGCGAAGGCGGCUUGCCAGAAUGCGCUCGACGGUGAGGGAUGAAAGCUGGGGGAGCAAACCGG